CUAGCUCGAGCUUGUUGAGCUUCGGUGUGAAAAUCUCAACAAGUUCAAAACAGAGCUUUUUUAACUAGGGUUUUGGAAUGAUUUCUCCAGAGUAACGGCGCAGAAAUUCGGAUCCUUACCCUAACAAUGGAGGGUCCUUAUAUAGAGCUUUGGAUGUACGAGGUUUUGAAUUCCUCUCUCAUGAGCUUGGCAAAUUAGUGGGAGAAUCAUUCCGUUAGGUAGCAGAAUUUCUCAGAGUUAGUGGUGCUUCAAAUCGGUGUGGUCCUUCAAAUGCUUUACUCUUCUCAAUCUCCCACCAACGGUUCAUGAUGACUUGUGCAUCACACUUCUGAAAUGGUUAUCAAGGUUGGAACAUCGCAUCGGUUUCAUUCACUGCAGUUAGCUUAAUUAAUCCAUAGAGUGGAGGUUUACAAUAUUCACGUAUCGAUGCGGUUUUGGCCAAUGGUUGUAGGCUUGUGCUCCGUGAUUCUAUUACCAUGAGGUUGGUGCUUUUGUAAGGAUGCAUUUGUGAUAUGCAGGUUUGGAUAUUGAUUCCCAUAUCCUUGCUUGGAAAUCUAAUUUGACAAUCUUAUUAGCCUCAAAAACUGUUUCCAAUGAAUUUCCCUGGAAAGCAACCAAUCAACAGAGCACACAGAAGCGCUUCAGCACUCUCAAUAUCAACCUUCUCAGAGUAUUUGCCCGACAAUACUUCGGGGCAACCUAUGCAGGGCUUUCAGCCAAUCCAGUCAAGUUUUGACCUUCCCAAAUUCUCAUAUUGAGUUCAAAAUCUGUAGGCUUUAACUUUCUUGAUUUUUCAGGUUUGGUAUCUUUGUGCACGACUCUUGCAAGUCUUUGUUGCUGCUGAUGCAUUGCUGGAUGUUUGUUAUGAUGUAUUUCGGCUAGUGGUUGUAGCACCUGUAUCCGGAUUCUACAGCAAGAUUACGUCACAGCAUGCACCUGUUGGAAAAGUUUGGAUGAUUGUGUGGUUUGUAAAUUGACGACGUUAUGUGACAUGGUAUGCUACAUUAUACCUGCAGCGAGCUGGUCUGUUUUGGAUUGUGGCCGUAAUCACUCAACUAUGUUAUGCCAUUGUUUUAUUUGGUCAUGGAUAACUUGGCAUAGUAAUAAUGAUAUCAUGCUAGGCGUUUUUGCAGGUUCAAUGUCGCACAAGGGGCUUGGCCAAGGCUUGGAGAAAAAGCUGCAAAAAAAAGUGAUUCUGAACUCUGGUGAUGGAGCAUGAACAAUUGAGGUUUAGGUCUUUUUUUUUUAGGAAAUGGUCAAUAGCUGGUUUGUUGGAAUUUGGCCAACCUUUGUAGAGGAUUUGUCAAUUCCUUAUGAUUUUGUAAUGAUGAUUUUGUAAAAUGGAAUUUCUCAAAUUAGUGUUGUAUGCAAGAUGCUUUUGCCGGAGGUUGAACCCGGCUGCAAUUCGCCUUCGCCGCGACAUCAUUAUUUCACAGCUUGCCUUGUGUUGUAGUUUGGAUCAUUUGUAGCCUCACCUUGAUUUGGCUACGUUUGCUGGUGUGUUCAUAGCAGGGCUCACGUUGGCGACACAUUACACGGCACGAUUACGUUUAUGGCCGGAUGGUUGGAACAAAGUGUCCACUCACCAAUGACUUGUCCAAAGAUUUCACUUUCAGAGGUGAUUAGAAUUAGGAUGGAUAAUUUGGUAUAGAGACGGGUUGUAUUUUUUUGUAAAUAAUACCAAACUCCAUAUUUUUGUUUCAAAUGAUGCAACUUGACGGAUUGUAAUGAUGUUUGUUUUUUUGAAUGAAAUUCUAUUGGUUUUAUUUGGA